rnacentral:rRNA from 1 species
AGAGUUUGAUCAUGGCUCAGAUUGAACGCUGGCGGCAUGCCUUACACAUGCAAGUCGAACGGCAGCACGGGGGCAACCCUGGUGGCGAGUGGCGAACGGGUGAGUAAUACAUCGGAACGUGUCCUGUAGUGGGGGAUAGCCCGGCGAAAGCCGGAUUAAUACCGCAUACGCUCUACGGAGGAAAGGGGGGGAUCUUAGGACCUCUCGCUACAGGGGCGGCCGAUGGCAGAUUAGCUAGUUGGUGGGGUAAAGGCCUACCAAGGCGACGAUCUGUAGCUGGUCUGAGAGGACGACCAGCCACACUGGGACUGAGACACGGCCCAGACUCCUACGGGAGGCAGCAGUGGGGAAUUUUGGACAAUGGGCGCAAGCCUGAUCCAGCAAUGCCGCGUGUGUGAAGAAGGCCUUCGGGUUGUAAAGCACUUUUGUCCGGAAAGAAAACGCUCUGGUUAAUACCCGGGGCGGAUGACGGUACCGGAAGAAUAAGCACCGGCUAACUACGUGCCAGCAGCCGCGGUAAUACGCAGGGUGCAAGCGUUAAUCGGAAUUACUGGGCGUAAAGCGUGCGCAGGCGGUCCGCUAAGACAGAUGUGAAAUCCCCGGGCUUAACCUGGGAACUGCAUUUGUGACUGGCGGGCUAGAGUAUGGCAGAGGGGGGUAGAAUUCCACGUAGCAGUGAAAUGCGUAGAGAUGUGGAGGAAUACCGAUGGCGAAGGCAGCCCCCUGGGCCAAUACUGACGCUCAUGCACGAAAGCGUGGGGAGCAAACAGGAUUAGAUACCCUAGUAGUCC